rnacentral:lncRNA from 1 species
UUUCGUUUCUAUGGAAAACGUGUGUCAUAGUCAUUCUGGCUACUUCUUAGAAAGGGCAUAGCUUGUAUGUAUUGGAAGGGAAUCCAUUAAACUGGAGUUGGAAAUAUUCUGGAGUCUCCGGAAUUACAGUAGGUGUUUGUUGGAGCAUUAUGGUGCAAGGACCUAGGAGUUUUUGAGAAGGUCAGUAUUACAUUCUCACUUAAAGUGCAAGGUACCAAUAAAAUCCACAGCAACUGAAGAUAGCAAUGAACAGUCAAAGGCCUUUUCUGCAUCUAUUGAGAUAAUCAUAUGGUUUUUGUCAUUGGUUCUGAUUAUAUGCUGGAUUAUGUUUAUUCAUUUGAGUAUGUUGAACCAAAGAGCUUCUGCACAGCAAAAGAAACUACCAUCAGAGUGAACAGGCAACCUACAGCAUGGGACAAAAUUUUUGCAAUCUACUCAUCUGACAAAGGGCUAAUGUCCAGA